rnacentral:rRNA from 1 species
GUCUUGUAAUUGGAAUGAUGGGAAUUUAAACCUCUUCCAGAGUAUCAAUUGGAGGGCAAGUCUGGUGCCAGCAGCCGCGGUAAUUCCAGCUCCAAUAGCGUAUAUUAAAGUUGUUGCAGUUAAAAAGCUCGUAGUUGUACUUCUGCUGCAUUGUACUUUCUCUUGUAUGGGUUAUUGCAUUGCGGCUUAUUUCGGUCAUGGUUUUCCUUGUCCGGAUGUUUACUUUGAGAAAAUUAGAGUGCUCAAAGCAGGCUUUUGCCUUGUAUAGUUUAGCAUGGAAUAAUAGAGUAGGACUUUGGUUCUAUUUUGUUGGUUUUAUGUACCAAAGUAAUGGUUAAUAGGAA